UUCAGAGUGGCUCAGUCAGUAGAGCACAAGACUCUUAAUUUAUGGGUUGUGGGUUAGAGCACCACAAUGGGCAAAA